rnacentral:rRNA from 1 species
UGCGCAGGCGGUUUUGUAAGUCAGAUGUGAAAUCCCCGGGCUCAACCUGGGAAUGGCAUUUGAGACUGCAAGGCUAGAGUGUGUCAGAGGGGGGUAGAAUUCCACGUGUAGCAGUGAAAUGCGUAGAGAUGUGGAGGAACACCGAUGGCGAAGGCAGCCCCCUGGGAUAACACUGACGCUCAUGCACGAAAGCGUGGGGAGCAAACAGGAUUAGAUACCCUGGUAGUCCACGCCCUAAACGAUGUCGACUAGUUGUCGGGUCUUAAUUGACUUGGUAACGCAGCUAACGCGUGAAGUCGACCGCCUGGGGAGUACGGUCGCAAGAUUAAA